rnacentral:lncRNA from 1 species
CGCCAGGCGGAGGCCAAGGGUCAGGGAGCUAAUAACCAGGAACACGUUCAAUACAGUACUCUCAGGGACAAGAGAAAAGACUUUACACACGACCACGGUUGCGAAGAUGGAAGAGACAUGCCAAGGGGUCCUGAAGCAGGUCCACUUUACACCUUUUUCGGCCUGUUCUCUGUACUGGAGAUGGAGCCUUGCUUUCUUGCUCGGCUGGCUGCUGGCCUGGUUUUAGCCUUCUGGAGGCAGCAACAGGACAUUGGAGGACAAGAGGAGAAAAAGAAUCAGAUUCUGAAGAUCAUCUACUUCAUUUUUAGUGCCUGGAGAUUAAGUAGAAAAAUAUAUGGCGAAGCUUUAUUUCACAGAGGUUUAUAGACUUAGGACAUGGAAUGCUGUUGAGAACAAAAUGCAUAAAAAUAAAGACCAUUCUUCAAACA